UACGAAGGGGGCUAGCGUUAUUCGGAAUCACUGGGCAUAAAGGGCGCGUAGGCGGCUCCAAAAGUCAGGGGUGAAAUCCGGCAGCUUAACUGUCGCAGUGCCUUUGAUACUGUGGAGCUAGAGGGAGGUAGGGGUCUGUGGAACUUCCGGUGGAGCGGUGAAAUGCGUUGAUAUCGGAAGGAACGCCGGUGGCGAAAGCGACGGACUGGAUCUCUUCUGACGCUGAGGCGCGAAAGCCAGGGGAGCAAACGGG
rnacentral:rRNA from 1 species